rnacentral:rRNA from 1 species
UACGUAGGUGGCAAGCGUUGUCCGGAAUUAUUGGGCGUAAAGCGCGCGCAGGCGGUUCUUUAAGUCUGAUGUGAAAGCCCCCGGCUCAACCGGGGAGGGUCAUUGGAAACUGGGGAACUUGAGUACAGAAGAGGAAAGUGGAAUUCCACGUGUAGCGGUGAAAUGCGUAGAGAUGUGGAGGAACACCAGUGGCGAAGGCGACUUUCUGGUCUGUAACUGACGCUGAGGCGCGAAAGCGUGGGGAGCGAACAGG